GACAGAGGGUGCAAACGUUGUUCGGAAUUAUUGGGCGUAAAGAGCUUGUAGGCGGUUUGUCGCGUCUGCUGUGAAAAUCCGGGGCUCAACCCCGGACUUGCAGUGGGUACGGGCAGACUAGAGUGUGGUAGGGGAGACUGGAAUUCCUGGUGUAGCGGUGAAAUGCGCAGAUAUCAGGAGGAACACCGAUGGCGAAGGCAGGUCUCUGGGCCACUACUGACGCUGAGAAGCGAAAGCAUGGGGAGCGAACAGG
rnacentral:rRNA from 1 species